rnacentral:rRNA from 1 species
UACAGAGGUCCCAAGCGUUGUUCGGAUUCACUGGGCGUAAAGGGUGCGUAGGUGGUCGGGUAAGUCUGAUGCGAAAUCUUCGAGCUCAACUCGAAAAUGGCAUUGGAUACUAUUCGGCUGGAGGGUUGGAAGGGGGACUGGAAUUCUCGGUGUAGCAGUGAAAUGCGUAGAUAUCGAGAGGAACACCAGUGGCGAAGGCGAGUCUCUAGACAACACCUGACACUGAGGCACGAAAGCCAGGGGAGCAAACGGG